rnacentral:rRNA from 1 species
GUAGGUGGCAAGCGUUGUCCGGAAUUAUUGGGCGUAAAGCGCGCGCAGGGCGGUCCUUUAAGUCUGAUGUGAAAGCCCACGGCUCAACCGUGGAGGGUCAUUGGAAACUGGGGGACUUGAGUACAGAAGAGGAAAGCGGAAUUCCAAGUGUAGCGGUGGAUUGCGUAGAGAUUUGGAGGAACACCAGUGGCGAAGGCGGCUUUCUGGUCUGUAACUGACGCUGAGGCGCGAAAGCGUGGGGAGCAAACAGGAUUAGAUACCCUGGUAGUCCACGCCGUAAACGAUGAGUGCUAAGUGUUAGGGGGUUUCCGCCCCUUAGUGCUGCAGCUAACGCAUUAAGCACUCCGCCUGGGGAGUACGGCCGCAAGGCUG